CAACUUCAAGAACCAGAUGACAGUGUUUGGAUAACAAUAACCAGCAGCACCACAUUCGAAGAGUGUAACUUGGCUUUCACAGGGAAAAGGAAAAAGGCAGAAGUCCGGUUGAGUUGUGUGAUCCUGUAAUAUACGAUCAUGUAGCAUGUACAUGGUUAACAAAGCUGUAAUUUUCUUAAUUUUCUUAAAUGUUAUGCUCGUAUUUGAGCCAUUCUUCCCAAACAGGUCAAGAUCAGUAAAAUCACAGAUUCCAGAAAAAUGGAAUAUCAUAGUCGCUAUGCCUUGCAUUAAGCGCAGAGAAAACCCAGAGCUAAUCGGAUCCUAAUAAAAACACUUCAAAACCACAGAUUCAAGUAUGCGAAAAAUAGAGCAACAAAACAAAAACUUAAUAUCCAAUCCUUAGAUGCACUCGAGAUAAGAAAAUAACACCUAACACUUGCAAGUCAAAACCAUAUCAUAUCCUGUUCUAUCUGGUUGCUUAUUAACUCAACGAAGUCCAAAAGGUUGAUGAGAUUCAAACUAAAUAAUUUUAACUACAAUUGCAUCAAAGCGUGUUUCCAAGUCCAAAAGAUCAACGAGACUUGAGAUAGAAACAUGCUUCAACCUCCGAUCAAUAAAUCCAUUUCUGCUUAACCCAACCACGCCCUAUCGGUAGAUCCAAUUCUAACAAACAUGCGUAAUUAUAAUUAUAAUUGCGUCAUGCAACAUGCAAAUUAAACACGGAACUUCCAAUCUAUGGAUCCAAUUCAAUUUUAACUGCAAGUAAUUGAAUGUUUAGAAAAUAAAGCAAUUCAACCAAAAUAAACACGGAACUUUCGACCUAUGGAUCCAAUUCAAUUAUAAAUGCAAAUAAUUGAAUGUUUUGGAAACACAGCAAUCCAACCAACGCAGAGAAACAACAGAUAUUAAGCUAACACAACAAAGAGCAUAAUCAUAAAAGACAAAAUCAUGGUGAUGACCGUAAAGGUUACCGAUGUAAAAGAAACAUACCUAUAGACUCAUCGAUUGAACGGCCGGAGGUUAGAGGUGUUUUAUCAAGGCCUUUUUUGCCGCCUUGCCGCUUCUUUUGAUCUUUAUUUUCCCUCCCAAUUAGGAUGGUUUAAGCAACCUAUGAGCCUUCCUGUUUUUGAAAUACGCGCCACACAUGCGGAGCGUCGGGUCAUAUCUGACGGCCACUAAGGUAUGCAGAUCAAUUUAGCAUUAAAGCCUGCAAAAUAUUAGAAAGGAAAACUUUUCAAAAAAAGUUAAAUCAAUAAAAAGAUUUG
rnacentral:lncRNA from 1 species